GCCGGUGUGGUGGAAUUGGCAGACGCCCUGGAUUCAAAAUCCAGUGUCCGCAAGGACGUGCGGGUUCGACCCCCGCCACCGGCACCA
rnacentral:tRNA from 2 species